rnacentral:lncRNA from 1 species
CUCACACAGACGCCCCAUUCCCCUCAGCCCCAGGCAACGGUCACCGUCACCCACAAACCCCGUACCCCUCACACAGACGCCCCCAUUCCCCUCGGCCCCAGGCAACGGUCACCGUCACCCACAAACCCCGUACCCCUCACACAGACGCCCCAUUCCCCUCGGCCCCAGGCAACGGUCACCGUCACCCACAAACCCCGUACCCCUCACACAGACGCCCCCAUUCCCCUCGGCCCCAGGCAACGGUCACCGUCACCCACAAACCCUGUACCCCUCACACAGAUGCCCCAUUCCCCUCGGCCACAGGCAACGGUCA